rnacentral:rRNA from 1 species
AUAGCGCAUAGUACCGUGAGGGAAAGGUGAAAAGAACCCCGGGAGGGGAGUGAAAGAGAACCUGAAACCGUAUGUCUACAAGCAGUCGGAGCGAAAGCGACGGCGUGCCUAUUGAAGAAUGAACCAACGAGUUACGUGCACUAGCGAGGUUAAGUGGAAGACACGGAGCCGAAGCGAAAGCGAGUCUUAAGAGGGCGAAUAGUUAGUGUACGUAGACCCGAAACCGCAGUGAUCUACCCAUGUCCAGGUUGAAGCGCAGGUAAAAUUGCGUGGAGGACCGAACCUGUGAGCGUUGAAAAGCUUUAGGAUGAGAUGUGGGUAGAGGUGAAAUUCCAAUCGAACGCGGAGAUAGCUGGUUCUCCCCGAAAUAGCUUUAGGGCUAGCCUCAAGUAGUAAGUAUAGGCGGUAGAGCACUGAUCGGGCUAGGGGCCAUAAAGGUUACCGAACCCUGUCAAACUCCGAAUGGUUAUACUGUAGAGCUUGGGAGUCAGACUACGAGUGAUAAGAUCCGUGGUCAAAAGGGAAACAGCCCAGACCACCAGCUAAGGUCCCCAAUGUCGUACUAAGUGGAAAAGGAUGUGGGGUCUCUAAAACAACCAGGAUGUUGGCUUAGAAGCAGCCACCAUUUAAAGAGUGCGUAAUAGCUCACUGGUCGAGAGACCCUGCGCCGAAGAUUACCGGGGCUAAAGUACGAAACCGAAGCUGUGGCUACGACGUAAGUCGUGGGGUAGGGGAGCGUUCUGUGAGGGCUGAAGUCGUUCUGUAAGGAACGGUGGACUUCACAGAAGUGAGAAUGUUGGUAUGAGUAGCGAAAAGAAUGGUGAGAAUCCAUUCCACCGAAAGCAUAAGGAUUCCUGGGCAACGAUCGUCGUCCCAGGGUAAGUCGGGACCUAAUCCGAGGCAUGGAGCGUAGGAGAUGGACAACUGGCAGAUAUUCCAGUACCGGUAAUGAUUGUUUGAGCGAUGGAGUGACACAGGAGGGCAGGCAGGCAGGAGAUUGGUUGUUCCUGUACAAGCGUGUAUGGUGGAACGUAGGCAAAUCCGCGUUCUGAGAGCCUGAGGCGUGAUGUGGAGGUUCCGGAAACGGAACCGAAGCUGCUGACCCCACACUGUCGAGAAAAGCUUCUAGUUAGAGAAUUACCGCCCGUACCGUAAACCGACACAGGUAUGCGGGGAGAGAAUCCUAAGGUGCGCGGGAGAACCCUCGUUAAGGAACUCGGCAAAAUGUACCCGUAACUUCGGGAUAAGGGUAGCCGCUGUUGUGAAGUCUGUACAGAUGGAGCAUGAGGCGGUCGCAGAGAAGAGGCCCAAGCGACUGUUUACCACAAACACAGGUGCCUGCUAAAGAGAAAUCUGACGUAUAGGUGCUGACACCUGCCCAGUGCCGGAAGGUUAAGGAAGGAUGUCCGGAGCAAUCCAAAGCAUUCGACCGAAGCCCCGGUGAACGGCGGCCGUAACUAUAACGGUCCUAAGGUAGCGAAAUUCCUUGUCGGGUAAG